rnacentral:rRNA from 1 species
AAGCGUACACGGUGGAUGCCCUGGCAGUCAGAGGCGAUGAAGGACGUGCUAAUCUGCGAAAAGCGCCGGCGAGGUGAUAUGAACCCUUGACCCGGCGAUGUCCGAAUGGGGAAACCCAGUGUGUUUCGACACACUAUCGUUAACUGAAUACAUAGGUUAACGAGGCGAACCGGGGGAACUGAAACAUCUAAGUACCCCGAGGAAAAGAAAUCAA